rnacentral:rRNA from 1 species
AGAGUUUGAUCCUGGCUCAGAACGAACGUUAGCGGCGCGCCUAACACAUGCAAGUCGCACGAGAAAGGGCUUCGGCCCCGGUACAGUGGCGCACGGGUGAGUAACACGUGGGUAAUCUGCCUUCGAGCGGGGGAUAACAUUCCGAAAGGAGUGCUAAUACCGCAUAAGACCACGCUCUCGAAAGAGAGAGCGGUCAAAGCUGGCCUCUAUACAUAAGCUAGCACUCGAAGAUGAGCCCGCGGCCCAUCAGCUAGUUGGUAGGGUAAUGGCCUACCAAGGCUAAGACGGGUAGCUGGUCUGAGAGGAUGAUCAGUCACACUGGAACUGAGACACGGUCCAGACUCCUACGGGAGGCAGCAGUGGGGAAUCUUGCGCAAUGGGCGAAAGCCUGACGCAGCGACGCCGCGUGAGUGAUGAAGGCCUUCGGGUUGUAAAGCUCUGUGGGGAGAGAAGAAUAAGUGCGGGCUAAUACUCCGCAUGAUGACGGUAUCUCCUUAGCAAGCACCGGCUAACUCUGUGCCAGCAGCCGCGGUAAGACAGAGGGUGCAAACGUUGUUCGGAAUUACUGGGCGUAAAGCGUGUGUAGGCGGUUUUGUAAGUCGGAUGUGAAAGCCCUGGGCUCAACCCAGGAAGUGCAUUCGAUACUGCGAAGCUAGAGUAUCGGAGAGGUUGGUGGAAUUCUCGGUGUAGAGGUGAAAUUCGUAGAUAUCGAGAGGAACACCGGCGGCGAAGGCGGCCAACUGGACGAAUACUGACGCUGAGACACGAAAGCGUGGGGAGCAAACAGGAUUAGAUACCCUGGUAGUCCACGCCGUAAACGAUG